UCACAGGAUGGAGGUAGGACAGCUGCACCUAAUCAUCAAAAAGCAUAUAUAAUGAAGCAGAGUGAAGAAGGUGGUUGUUGCUAGAAGGGGAACAUUAUCCUCCAUUUCCUAAGGAAGUCCUCAUUGUAACCAACCCGUGCUUUGGCCCAGGAUUGUCUACUUGUUCCCCUUGAGGAGAUUUGCCAGAAGAUGUAGAAGAGACCUUACUACACACCACGUGUUAGCUACAACACAACUGGCAAAAUGGCUUUUUGAAUCGUUGUUCUUUCAGAAGUAUUUCCUGUGCCUUCAUACUCCAGGCUUUCAUCUCAGGCCUUAAGGACCCCCUGUCUCACUCGGUUCAUAGGCUGGACCUGUUUGGGGGAGCGAGUCCAAGGUGUUUUACAGAAGCUGGAAGGUGUUUAAUGGAUGGGGUACGGGACUGCUGGAAAACAAAGGAUGGUUCUGUGGUUAAGAAAAUUGAAUGCCAGCAAGAAGAACUGUUUCUGCCAUGGAGUUCAUAUACAAUGCUGGGCAAGUCACUUGCAUCCAGCUUUUCAUACGUGAUCCCUAACAGUGUUCCUCACUUUCAUGAUGUCUAGUAUGCAGCUCCUAAAUCUAGAUUUGUAGAGAGAUCACAAUUGCAGGGGAAGAUGAAUGGACCUAUACUUUGAAUGAAAAUGUGGAAAAGCCUGAAGUCUCAAUUUGCACACCCAAAAUUAGUGGACAAUUUUGACUUAAAUCUCUGUGCCCUAGUUUCUUAGACAUAAAAUUGGAAUAAAUGCCACCACCUGCUUUCAGAGGAACGUGAAAAAUGUAUGAAUGUUUAUGGAAUACUUGGUUAUUAUGUUGGGAGCCCCCUAGAAAUGCUCCGGAAGAAAUUAAUAGUUUUGGAUAUAAUGAAAAAAUUGAAACAUAAUAGAACAAGCCUGGAAUCAGUGACUGAAUGAGGAGGAUAAAAAGAUACUUUGCAUAACUAGCUGCUCACUUAAUGAUGAGACAAAGGUCUUGUACUAAUGUGUGCCCAGUAGCAGAGUGGGUCAUCAUACACAUGACCAAAGGGGUCCAACCAAAGUUGCACAAGCAACUUGAAUUCCAGCACUUCCUAACUUUUGUGGACCUGGUUUUUCAACCUUAAUAGUCUUUACUGGCAAAACCCCCUCUUCUCAGGAAGAACAGUAGUUGUGGCAUGAUUUUCAGAUGCAUUAAUUGAAAAGUUAAACGUGUAGUUUACUUCUUUUUUCCAACUAAAAAGUUUGUUUGUGGAAGCGUCGAUGGUUUUCCAGCUUGACCAUAAUCAUCAAACUCCCUAGGUGAGAUUGUAUAAAGAAAAACCCCCAAAACAACCAGAGAUCUUUCUUUUCCCUAGACUGAGCUUUUUUUUUUUUUUUU